GCGCACACUGCGCAGGACAGAGAGCCGGUCGGCCGGCCGGAUCCCAUCCCCCCUGACCCAGCCCAGCUCUUGCUACAGGGGGGUUACAGGGUGUGCUGACCCUCACCUAUAGGCUGGAAGAGGUCCUGUUGGAGACUUGAACAGGGAGCAUGGUAUGAGAGACUGCCACUUCCAAGCCAGGGGCUCAGUCAUGCUAACUGACCUUGAACCACACUUGCCCUUCCUCAACUUCACCAAGUCCACAGAAUUUCUGCCCUGUAGCCAUUGCGUCUUCCCCUCACAGGUCCAAAUCCCACCUUCAGCCAACCCAUGCUUCUUGUUUCCCUGCUAAGGAAAUCUCCGUCUGCCCCAGCCCGCCUAUGUGCCUUUCCCAGGCACUCCACGUGUCCUUCUUACCCCAUUAUUCUAAGGACUGGCCCAGAGAGAGCCCUCUGUAGGAUGUGGGUGUGGAUGAAUUCGGUAAAGAACAGGUCCUGGCCCUGUCUGGACCAGGGCUUCCUCUCUCUGAUAGGCUAGUCUGGAGUCGCAGGAAGGCCUUAGAGACCAGCCCGCCCAGGUGCUAGUUUCAAGAUAGAAAAACUGAGGCUCAGAGAGGGGAGCAAGCACCUUGCUCAGGGUCACACUGAAACAAAAGAACCAGAACUCAGGUUUGGGGCAUUUCCUUCCUACUCUGACCCAGCCUCUCAGCUUUCCCUCUCUCUUUGGAGUGUUUCCAAGGCAUCCACUCCCUCGCCUCCUCCUGACAUUGGCCUCUGGGCUCAGGUGGGUCAGGAAUGCUGUGGCUGUGACCACAAACAUGGUGGUGGCAGCUCCAUAUCUUUCCAUAUGGGGGCGCCCAGAGUCCAUGUUUCUAUUUUCUGGUGACAAGAUGUCAAUUUUCAUUGUUACUGAACAUAAAAUCAAGUGAUGUCUUCAGUGUUACAAUGUAUGCAGACCUUGUCAUGUUCUUGACAGCCCUACCAAGUUCCUGACAGCUGCAUUUUUCCCCCUUCUGGGUGUUUGGGAUGUGGGGGCAUCAGAGGGAAAAGCAUGUGCUCUUUGGUACCCCCACACCCCCCAGAUGCUGCUGCUGACACCCUCCUGCCUGUCUAGACACAGCUUCACACACCCAGGGAGAGAAGGGUCUGUCUUCUGAGAGUCCUGACAGGAAGUGGAUUCUCAAUGAGGUUCUGAGGGCCCAGGGACCCCACUCCCUACAUUCACAAAGGGGAGGGGUUCAGAGAACUGGAGAAGGGAGGGUUCCUUCUCUGCCCAGGCCACAGGGAGCCUGAUAAGCUGUUCUCACACCUUUGGUUCCUAUAAUUAACAGAUGUCCCUGUCCCAGCAUGCCCUAGUCAGGUACCUCCCCCCCCAACUCCCUGCAAUAGUGGUUGAUGGCUUUAAACUGGAAGACUCGUUUGAUUACAAGGUUGGGGGUGUCUAGGAAAAAGAGGGACUGGCAUGGGUGGAUGAGUUCUCACAAAACUAUCACAGCUGAAGCCAGAGCCAUCACUGAGGCUUUGAAGUGCAGACACUAGCCGGACCCUCACCCCUAUUCAUACACAUCCUGCUCCAGACCCAUCAGUUCUCCACAUUUGGAACCUUAGAAGCCUUAGGAGGAGAUGGCCUUGCUCCUGGACCAGGGAGGAUGGCUAGGAGAGACUGGGUGGGGAUGGGGAGAUGCUCUGAGAGGCAGUGGUGGGCAAGUGCCUGGCAUACACCCUCCUGAAUUUCAACCCAGUCUCAUAGUCUAGUAGCAUGGCCAGUCUGGAGUCCCCAGGGGAAGACUGUAGGACCACCUUAUCGUCCCCUUCAGACCUGGCACAUAGUAGGUACCCAGAGAUGUGAAAUGAGCCAGAUCAUGUGCCCCCCUCCCCCUGCCUGCCCCUGGCCCAAACCUUGCUGGCCUGCUCUCUGAGAAGGAGAUUAUCCUGUGUUUGAAGUUCAGCCAUGUGGAACUGUCCCAAUGACCACUUCCAUCUGUCCCUGCUGAGGCUGAUGGGAAUGUCUUCUCUGUAUGUGAUAUGUGCCCCAGUCUGAGAUGUCAGCAACAGUCGUCCUUCACACCCCAGGACUCUGUCGGCACAUGCCCCAUGCCCCAUGCCCCGUUCCCGGCACUGCCAGUCCCCAGGCACGAGACAUCGCUUUCAUGCAGCCCAGUCUUUGGUUCCCCUGCGCUUGCUUGGAGAUCGGUAGACUCGUAGAAUGGAUGAGCAGAUGUCAGACAUGGUAGAAAGCUGUGUGUUAGACCUGAAUUUGAAUCUCGGUUCCAUCCCUCAGCCUUGGGCACGUUUCCUCCCUUGUCUGAGCCUCAGUUUCCUCACCCGUGAAAUGGGGAUGGUGGUGGCUAUUCAUGAGGUGGUCGGGAGGAUGAAAGAAGGGAAAUGGCUCCUAAGUGCCCAGCCGUCUCUAAUCUUCUCCUCAUUAUUCUUCCCUGCCCACCUUCCAGGCCCCACAGAGAAACAGGCCCCUUCAAGAGGUCACCACUCCCGAGGGCGCCUGACUGCUCGGCAGACAAUGGGAUUCUGGCCCUGGACUCACAGGCUCUCAAGGACCCAGCAGUGCCUACGACCAGUCCCUUCACCCCUAAAGAGUCAAGGCUCCCAGAAUGCCAGGAGGCCAAGGAGAUCAAGUUGACAAGCAUUCCUUGGAGUGGCAUUCCAGGGUCCAGCGAGAGGUUCCCAAGGGACACCUUUGGCUUGCUGUCCAAGUGUUCCAGACAGAAGCACAAAUCUUCACUGCCAGACAACACUAGUGAGGGCCUGAAACUCCACCCAGAGGGGACUGAAGGCAUUCGUUAACUUCCUGAGACUCCUGUCCCAGAAACCCAAAUCUACAGGUACGUUUGCCGACUCAGAGGUUAAUAAAUAAAGAAACCAGGAUAAUGUUUGUUGAUGGACCUUGCGGCUGCUCACUGGUUUGCAGUUUUAGAGACUUGGAUGUUAGGGAGAAAUGGGGUUGCCUGUUCCAAGAGAACUUGAGACGUGGGCAACCACCAGUGUCCCCUGGCUGGGCCCUGUCGUAGGGAGCACACCUUUGCCCCCUGUCACCCUGAAGGAGCAGAGUUACAGUAGACUCCUUCACACCUCAUCAGGCAGAAUGGGCGAUCUCAGAUCUCCAGGCCUGCACUUCCUGAUCCAUAAGAAGCAGGUGAGCAGAAGUGAGCAGCGAGAGCCCCUUCCAACUGCCAAGAUGCAAGGGGGGAAAUCCGCGUGCAGUGAGCAGCACCCAGAUCUGAGCUCUCUCCCCUUGAACCACUCUCCUCUCCCUGCCUGCGCCCCUCCCAGCAGAUGCCUGAAGGUGGGUCAAUCAAGUGAGCUAUAAUUAGAACCCAAAUGACACUUUCAUUAGGCAAAUGUUCUAGGCUUUCCCAUUGUGACUCUGGUUGUAUUUGAUGAGUACCUAUCCCAGGUCCCUGUGCUUCUCUCACGCACAAGCCCCUCCCCCUAUACUGUUUCAAUAGUAUGACUCUGGAGUCCUGAUAGCCUAAUAAACUGUAAUACUGGGGCAGAGAUUUGAGGUCCAAGAACAAUAAUAAACAACACGGACACUUACUCCAAUACUUGUGUUUUCUCAGCGGAGUCCCACACCCAUUAUAAGGCAAAUACGCCAUGCCACUUUACAAAAGGAGAAACCAAGGCUCAGGAAGACUAGGUAACUCACCUGAGGUUUCAAGGCAAAGGGCCUGACCCAACUGAAUCAGAUCCCAAACCUACUGUACUCUUCUAUCUAUAAUCUUUCUGUUGGGGUGAGGAGUAAGGCUCUAUCCUGGGAGCUGGCACAGUCCCAGAAACCUGGUAGGCUAUGGAGGUUGCUAUGGCAACACCAAUUAAAUGGACAGCGGGUUUUCAUUCAGUUGGGAAGCUGUGAGCAAGCUUGCUACCAGUCCUGCUGCCCCAAAUUCUGCCUGGCCUUCAAGGUCCUCUCUGGCUGAUUCUUCCAGGCAGCCCUCCCUAGUCACAUACCCUGUGACCAGUGCUCCGACCAAUGCAAAGAUUCAGGAAGUAGGGAUCCCAGGCUUUGCACCCCACUGGACAAGUGCAGAAAGUGGGUCCUGGACUACUAAGAAUUUAGGAAUCUUAAAAUGAGGAAAUCUAUGGGAUCCUAGGUUGGGACUCAUAUUUGGAGGAGCAGUGGAAAAAGGGCCCUCACAGCAAUUGCCUGGGAUAAUCCACAUGGAGUUGGGCCUCUUCAAUCCCGGGUGCUUUCUUGGCUGCUGCUCCCAUGAAUCAAAAGCCUGAGAAGCCUGUCUUUUGUCACAGGAGAGGCACUUGCCACAAGCAGGCUGUAUGUCUGUGAGGCAGGUCUACCAAGUUCUUGAGGCCUCCAGCUGCUCAGCUGAUACAUAGAAGGACCUUGGAGUCAGGAGGAGUGGGGAUGUGGGCCCAGCACAGACCAUGAGGUAGGAAGGCAGCGAGCACUGGCAUUUUGAGGAAGAAAGACAGGGAAAUAGGCAGGAUGGGAGAGUACCUGGAAGUCACACACCUUUAAUCCCAGCAUUGAGAUCUCACACCUCUAAUCCCAGCACUAGGAAGGAAGUGAUAUGGC